rnacentral:rRNA from 1 species
UGACGUGGGUGCUAGCCUCUAAGAUUUAGCCAUGCAUGCUUUGUGAACCCAGACGGGGGAACGGCGAACGGCUCAGUAAUGUUGCGGUGAUCUGCUCUGGUUGAGAAAGAUAACCACGGUAAACUGUGGCUAAGAGACCAGAAUGAGCUGCAACCCUAUCAGUUUGUUGGAAGUGUAAAAGACUCCCAAGACGUCGACGGGUAACGGGAAAUCAGUGUUUGAUUCCGGAGAGGGAGCCUGAGAGAUGGCUCCUACGUCCAAGGAUGGCAGCAGGCGCGAAAAUUGUCCACUCUUUGGAGAGGAGACAGUUAUGAGGCGUGAUUAAAAGAGCGAAGUGUAAACACCUUCGUGUAACGCAAUUGGAGGGCAAGUUUUGGUGCCAGCAGCCGCGGUAAUUCCAACUCCAAGAGUGCCCAUGGUGGAUGCUGCAGUUAAAAAGUCCGUAGUCGUAGAUGCAAUUAAAGGGUGCGGAUCAAGCGCACUGAGUUUGUUGAGUUGUAGCGGAGCGGAUAGGGAGCAUGGUAUAGGUUGGCGAGGAAUGAAAUCUCAGGACCCAACCUGGACCAACUGAGGCGAAAGCGGUGCUCUUAUACGCAUCCGAGGAUCAAGGACGAAGGCUGGAGAAUCGAAAGUGAUUAGAUACCGCUGUAGUUCCAGCAGUAAACUAUGCCGACAUUCUCUGUCCAGCGGACGGGGAAGGGAGAAAUCUUAGUUUUCGGGCUCUUGGGGAUAGUACGCUUGCAAGAGUGAAACUUAAAGCGAAAUUGACGGAAGGACACUACCAGGAGUGGAUUGUACUGCUUAAUUUGACUCAACGCGGGAAAACUUACCAGGGUCAAGUUCUCCGUAGAUCGAGUCGUGAGGGGAACGAGAGUGGUGCAUGGCCGUUGGAAAUUGAUGGGAUGACUUUUAGCUUAAAUGCUGAAACCAGUGAGAUCUUCUAGACAGGUGCCAUCCGGCACAGGAGGGCGAAGGCGAUAACAGGUCCGUGAUGCCCUUAGAUAUCCUGGGCUGCAAGUGCAAUACAAUAUCCAUGUCGAUCAAGAAAGGUGAUUAUGGAUGAGCAGGAUUAGCUCUUGUAAAUGAGCUAUGAAUGAGGAAUUCCUAGUAACAGUGUCUCACUAAGGCAUUGUGAAUGCGUCCCUGUUCUUUGUACACACCGCCCGUCACUAUUUCAGAUGGCCAUGAAGAUGAAGAGCUUCGGUUCUUGAAUAUUCAUGUC